ACACGACUACAUUAGAUACCCCGGUAGUCCUAGCCGUAAACGAUACUCGCUAGGUGUCGGCCACGGUGCGACCGUUGUCGGUGCCGUAGGGAAGCCGUGAAGCGAGCCACCGGGGAAGUACGGCCGCAAGGCUGAAACUUAAAGGAAUUGGCGGGGGAGCACCACAACGGGUGGAGCUUGCGGUUUAAUUGGAUUCAACGCCGGAAAUCUUACCGGGACCGACAGCAACAUGAAGGCCAGGCUGAAGACUUUGCCGGAUUAGCUG
rnacentral:rRNA from 1 species